rnacentral:rRNA from 1 species
CCUACGGGAGGCAGCAGUGAGGAAUAUUGGACAAUGGCCGAGAGGCUGAUCCAGCCAUGCCGCGUGCGGGAAGACGGCCCUAUGGGUUGUAAACCGCUUUUGUUGGAGAGCAAUAAGAGUCACGUGUGACUUGAUGAGAGUAUCCAGCGAAUAAGCAUCGGCUAACUCCGUGCCAGCAGCCGCGGUAAU